GGACUCUGCUUGACCCCACUCAGAGAGCCCUCUACAGAGAUGUCAUGCAGGGGAACUAUGAGACGGUGGUCUUGCUGGAGUUUCUGGUUUUCCAACGUGAUGUGAUCUCCCAGCUGGAACAAGGGGAAGAGCAUUGGGUCCCAGAGCUCCAGGGUUCAGAGGAAAGAGAGAUCCUGAGAUCUCCCCGCACAGAUGAGGAAACAUUAAACCAACUCAGAAUCUAUCAGGCCUUUCUCAACAUCAGAGAAUCCACACAGGGGAGAG